rfam:Gossypium raimondii Chr07_contig_1415, whole genome shotgun sequence.
UAUUAAAAAUUUCAUCCAUUUGUAUUAUUAAAAUUGGCGUGGCUAAUAGAAUAACUAAACAGUGAUAAGUGUUGUACUACGUGUAUCUCAUGCUGCGUGUAUCUCAUGCUGAUGUAUAAGGAUUAGUUUUUAGUAGUAGAAAAGGAUGAAAUUUUUAAGA